ACAUGAUUACAACAUAGAAUUAAUGCAUUAGAUCCCAUUAGAACUUCGCAGUUAAGCACACCUAGGCUAGAGUAGUAUUGUGAUGGGUGACCUUCCGAGAAGUCCUAGUAUUUUACAUGCC
rnacentral:rRNA from 1 species